GCCAGGAGGCCGGGCCCCUCGGGGCUGCGCAGCCCCUCCCUCUCCCUCCAGUCUGGUUGGUAUAGACGUGGAGGCCCCAGGGAGGAGGAAUGACCUGGCCCAGACGGAGGCCCCAACAGGGCACCCCAUAAACCCCGGAAAGUCUUUAGGGCCAGGCGUGGCCUCCCAUCAACAGCGGCCCCCGUGUCCCCGCCCCCCCUCCCCCCAUCCGUGCCCCCAUUGAUUCACUCAUCCACUACUCAGACAUCUUCCAACACUACACAGUGUCCCAAGACAGGCACGACUGGGACUCUGAAUCCAAGAGGGCAGACUAGCCACAGGCACGUGAGCAGGAUUCAGCACAAAGGAGUUCCUACUAUGUGCCAAACUCCAUAGCUCAAAGAACUGGAGAAGUUCUCUCAAGUACAAACGCUUCCUACCAAGAUCCUGGAUAAAUGGUCACCCUUCCGAUUAAAGGUUUCUCUCUGACACAUGAGUUUGCAUAUGCUGUUCCCUCUGCCUAGAAUGUCCUUCCACAUGGAAUCCAUCUGGACAACUCUUCCUCUUCCUGCAGGGGCUUGUUUAUCUUUGUAUCACAAGCACCUAUCACUAUUCCUGGCAGAGAGAAGACAUCCUACAAUCAAACCAGCUAGAGGUGACUGGACAAAGAGAUCUGACCAGUUAGACAGACAAAGCAUUCCAAAGGCUCCUGAGAUCCUGAAAUCACCCACCCAACCAGAACAACAGCUGCCACUUGAAAUCUUCUAAGUGUGACACAAACUCUUGAAAAGUAAAAGCAGAAAAAUUAAGCAAAUGAAGUUAUAAUGCCCAGCAGCCUGCACAAGUAAAACCCUACCAUUGAACAGCUCAGUGGAUGGAUUGAAGAGAGGCUAGUCAUUGAAGCAAUAUGAACUGGUGACUGGCAAUCACAUGGAAAAAACUCUCACUGCACAGAGCAAGCAAAGAGGUGGGCAAAUGAAAGAAAAGGAAAUCCUUGUUGAUUUGAAGACAGGGAUGUGUAAGGGUCCCUUAUCAGCAGGAUUUGAUAAGCUGCACACAAGCUGAAGCACAUAAGCACAGCAGCACAUAAGCUGAAGAAUGGAAUGGUGGUACAGCAUUGAGGGAAAGAUCCAUCAUCUGCUUUGCCUUCCCCUGCUUUUCUUUUUUCAGGUUUCUCUUUAAGCCUCUACAUGGGAGCCAUCUCUGGCUCAGUAACAAAUGACAUUGGUCCCAUGAAAUUUAUGAGCUUUUCACAGUAUAAAAUAGCAUCAGAUAAAGGUAUUCUUCAUCCACCCAAUACUACUCUUACUAUCACAGACACAGCUCAGUAGAGCUGACCAUCAUCAAGAAAUCAUUCCUUAGUUAUUAUAAUCAAUGAUUUUUUAAAUCAGACAAUGGUUUUUCUUUUAAAAAUAUAAGGAUUU